UUGACCUCAAAUCAGGUAGGACUACCCGCUGAACUUAAGCAUAUCAAUAAGCGGAGGAAAAGAAACUAACAAGGAUUCCCCUAGUAACUGCGAGUGAAGCGGGAAAAGCUCAAAUUUAAAAUCUGGCAGUCUUUGGCUGUCCGAGUUGUAAUCUAGAGAAGUAUUAUCCGCGCUGGACCGUGUACAAGUCUCCUGGAAUGGGGCGUCAUAGAGGGUGAGAAUCCCGUCUU
rnacentral:rRNA from 1 species